rnacentral:rRNA from 1 species
GAUGAACGCUGGCGGCGUGCCUAAUACAUGCAAGUCGAGCGAAUGGAUUAAGAGCUUGCUCUUAUGAAGUUAGCGGCGGACGGGUGAGUAACACGUGGGUAACCUGCCCAUAAGACUGGGAUAACUCCGGGAAACCGGGGCUAAUACCGGAUAACAUUUUGAACCGCAUGGUUCGAAAUUGAAAGGCGGCUUCGGCUGUCACUUAUGGAUGGACCCGCGUCGAAUUAGCUAGUUGGUGAGGUAACGGCUCACCAAGGCAACGAUGCGUAGCCGACCUGAGGCGGUGAUCGGCCAAACUGGGACUGUGACACGGCCCAGAGUCGUACGGGAGGCAGCAGUAGGGAAUCUUCCGAAAUGGACGAAAGUCUGACGGAGCAACGCCGCGUGAGUGAUGAAGGCUUUCGGGUCGUAAAACUCUGUUGUUAGGGAAGAACAAGUGCUAGUUGAAUAAGCUGGCACCUUGACGGUACCUAACCAGAAAGCCACGGCUAACUACGUGCCAGCAGCCGCGGUAA